UACAGAGGAUGCAAGCGUUAUCCGGAAUGAUUGGGCGUAAAGCGUCUGUAGGUGGCUUUUUAAGUCCGCCGUCAAAUCCCAGGGCUCAACUCUGGACAGGCGGUGGAAACUACCAAGCUGGAGUACGGUAGGGGCAGAGGGAAUUUCCGGUGGAGCGGUGAAAUGCGUAGAUAUCAGGAGGAACACCGGUGGCGAAGGCGGUGGUCUGGGCCGGAACUGACGCUGAGGAGCGAAAGCGUGGGGAGCGAACAGG
rnacentral:rRNA from 1 species